UGCUGGGUAGCUCAGUUGGUAGAACAUGAGACUCUUAAUCUCAGGUUCGUGGGUUCUGAGAUGCUGUUCUCUGUUCCUAGGAA